GACGAACGCUGGCGGCGUGCCUAAUACAUGCAAGUAGAACGCUGAAGGAGGAGCUUGCUCUUCUGGAUGAGUUGCGAACGGGUGAGUAACGCGUAGGUAACCUGCCUGGUAGCGGGGGAUAACUAUUGGAAACGAUAGCUAAUACCGCAUAAGAGUAGAUGUUGCAUGACAUUUACUUAAAAGGUGCAAUUGCAUCACUACCAGAUGGACCUGCGUUGUAUUAGCUAGUUGGUGGGGUAACGGCUUACCAAGGCGACGAUACAUAGCCGAACUGAGAGGGGGAUCGGCCACACUGGGACUGAGACACGGCCCAGACGCCUACGGGAGGCAGCAGUAGGGAAUCUUCGGCAAUGGACGGAAGUCUGACCGAGAAACGCCGCGUGAGUGGAGAAGGUUGUCGGAUCGUAAAGCUCUGUUGUAAGAGAAGAACGAGUGUGAGAGUGGAAAGUUCACACUGUGACGGUAUCUUACCAGAAAGGGACGGCUAACUACGUG
rnacentral:rRNA from 1 species